AUCCAGCUGACGAGUCCUAAACAGGACGAAACGCGCGUCCUGAAU
rfam:Schistosoma mattheei strain Denwood, Zambia genome assembly, scaffold: SMTD_scaffold0010657